GAUGAACGCUAGCGGCAGGCUUAAUACAUGCAAGUCGAGGGGCAGCAUAGUGUAGCAAUACAUGGGUGGCGACCGGCAAACGGGUGCGGAACACGUACAGAACCUUCCUUCGAGCGGGGAAUAGCCCAGAGAAAUUUGGAUUAAUACCCCAUAGUAUAUUGGAGUGGCAUCACUUUAAUAUUAAAGAUUUAUCACUUGAAGAUGGCUGUGGGUCUGAUUAGGUAGUUGGUGAGGUAAUGGCUCACCAAGCCAGCGAUCAGUAACUGGUGUGAUGGCACGACCAGUCACACGAGCACUGAGACACGGGCCCGACUCCGACGGGAGGCAGCAGUAAGGAAUAUUGGUCGAUGGACGCAAGUCUGAACCAGCCAUGCCGCGUGGAGGAUGAAGGUCCUCUGGAUUGUAAACUUCUUUUAUCUGGGACGAAAAAGGGCCUUUCUAGGUCAACUGACGGUACCAGAUGAAUAAGCACCGGCUAACUCCGUGCCAGCCGCCGCGGUAACAC
rnacentral:rRNA from 1 species